rnacentral:lncRNA from 1 species
ACAAUUUAUUUAAGAGUAAUGCUUCUAUAUUUUUUUUUUUUCAUUAUCAAUCAUUCACGCGUAUUCAACGGCUCAGAUUUAAUUUUUUUUAAAUUGCGACCUGCAAUAGUAGAUCAUUUUGGAAGAGGUAUCGAUUACCAGGUACCAAAAAAAAAAAGAUAUUUUUGUCUUUUACUGUAUGGAUAAUUUAGUCAUUUUACCUCUACUAUAUUUUCAAAAUUUUUAUUUCCUCUUUGUUUUCUUUUUCUCUCUCUAUCUUUCCUUUCAUAAUUUGGGAUUUCAUAUAAAAAAAUUUUCAAAUUAUUUGACAAUAUGAUCUUUUAAUUUUUUUUUCUCUUUGUUUAUUUGUUUAAUUUUUCAAAUAGUUUAAUUUUAAGAAACUAUGCAUUAAAAUUUCAUUUCAUACCUAUUGCUUUCUAAAUCUUUUUUUAAUAAAAUAAGAAUGAAAUUUAGAUUAUUUUGUGAUUUAAUUUGUUAAUUAAUUUUUUUCUAAUUCGGUAAUAUUAUAUUCAAAUUUAUAUUUUAAAAUUUUAAGUUUCAUAUAAAUACUUUGAAAUAUGAUAAACAGAAAUAAUUGUUUUGGAUUUCGGUCUUUUGGUUUAGGUUUGGUUUUGGGUUUCAAAAAAUUGAUCAGUUUUGAAUUUGGAUAUAAAAUUUUGAAAUCCGUCAAGUUCGGAAAUAAGUUUUGCGAUGGUUAGUCGGAUUCGAAUUCAAAUUUCUAACCUUUUUUUUUUCUCACCAGUAAUCCUAAUCUUUUUAAUUUUUAUGUUUAAAAUUAUAUGUAAAAUAUUUAUUAGCUCUAAAUUAGAAAAAUUCUUAAUUUUUUUUAAA